rnacentral:tRNA from 1 species
GCGCUCAUAGCUCAAUUGGCAGAGCAUCCCGCUCUUAACGGGACGAUUGAGAGUUCGAUUCUCUCUGAGCGCA